UUUGGCUAUAACAUUUCUAAAUAGAAGAAAAAAAUAAGCUAAUUUGGAUUUUACUUUCUUUUUCAGAAUCUUUUCUCAAAAAAAAAGACUUCACCUCAUUUUCCCUAGAGGAACCCUAGCAAGAUUUCAAUAACUGAUUUAGUCUUCCUACAUCUCAUCUUGAAAAUACAACAACAAAUCCCAAAUCUCUUCCAGAUCCAGACCAAAACAGAGGACAAAUGGGUUAGCUAUGCAUAUUACACCCAUGUCAGAACUGAAUGUAUAAAGGUUAAUUUGGAAUCUCAGCCUAGAUUCUGGUCUGUUUUGAAAGAAAUGUUGGAGCUCUGAGGCAGAGCUAUGAGAAGGUAUCUGGUCUUCUCCAACAACUCUGGCAUGACUGUGUGUCAAGAUUCUGAUAAAGAGGCCAUUAAAGAGGAUCUAGACUUAUGAGUAGCUAAAGAGAACUCAACAACUAGGCCUUGCUGUGAAGAGGAAUAAGAAAAAAUAAGGGCAGCAAUUCUUAAAUGGAGGUAAAGGGCUUCCAUUAGCUACUCUUGUCUUGGAUAUUACUGCCUCAGUGUUCUGUCUUAGAAGCUCUCAGAUCACUUGUGGUUCCAGGUAAAGGCUUUCAUCAAUCAAGUACUAUGUGAGUAUAUGGUGGAGGUGAGACACUACUAGGAAAAUGAGAAGAAGAACAAGCAUCAUUAAGCAGAGGCCUUCUUUUUCAUUUACACUACCUUUGGAAGAAUGGAGAAGCCUUUAUGCAAGGCUAAACUUUGCCAGUGACUUCAGUCGAUCGUCAUGCAGCAUCAUCUAUAGUUCCAGCAUCAUUCUGUUCUUUUUUUUCUGGAUAUACUCCAACUUCUCUAAUGCUGUGCUAAAAUGUGAUACCUAAACUGAAAAUAAUGCAUGGGAUUAGGGACUUUUGCUAAGGAGAUAGUGCUGACUUUCCCCUUUUCCUUCCAUUGUUUCUAAUUCUCUCUAAAGACUCCACAGAGGUUGGAAGAAAAUCUGACUGUCUGGGCAUGGAUUAAAGGGUUUGGGAGUGGGGAGCAAGGGGGGCAGUGACAGGAAAUGGAAGGAGAAAUAAAUGUUAUGAGUGUUUUCCCCA
rnacentral:lncRNA from 1 species